rnacentral:tRNA from 1 species
GUUUUAAUAGUUUAAAUAAAACACCGGUCUUGUAAACCGGAAUUGAAGUAUUGAUUCUUCUUAAAGCA